rnacentral:rRNA from 1 species
GACGAACGCUGGCGGCGUGCUUAACACAUGCAAGUCGAACGGAAAGGCCCUGCUUUUGUGGGGUGCUCGAGUGGCGAACGGGUGAGUAACACGUGAGUCACCUGCCCUUGACUUUGGGAUAACUUCAGGAAACUGGGGCUAAUACCGGAUAGGAGCUCUUGCUGCAUGGUGGGGGUUGGAAAGUUUCGGCGGUUGUGGAUGGACUCGCGGCUUAUCAGCUUGUUGGUGGGGUAGUGGCUAACCAAGGCUUUGACGGGUAGCCGGCCUGAGAGGGUGACCGGCCACAUUGGGACUGAGAGACGGCCCAGACUCCUACGGGAGGCAGCAGUGGGGAAUAUUGCACAAUGGGCGGAAGCCUGAUGCAGCAACGCCGCGUGCGGGAUGACGGCCUUCGGGUUGUAAACCGCUUUCGCCUGUGACGAAGCGUGAGUGACGGUAAUGGGUAAAGAAGCACCGGCUAACUACGUG